CCUGCCCAGUGACAAAUUUUUAACGGCCGCGGUAUUUUAACCGUGCAAAGGUAGCGCAAUCACUUGUCUUUUAAAUGAAGACCUGUAUGAAUGGUGAAACGAGGGCUUAACUGUCUCCCAUUUCAAGUCAAUGAAAUUGAUCUGCCCGUGCAGAAGCGGGCAUACUAAUACAAGACGAGAAGACCCUUUGGAGCUUUAGACAAAAGAUCACCUAUGUCAAGAACUGCAAACUAAGUCAAACUAAAUAGUCACUGAUCUCAGUCUUUUGUUGGGGCGACCACGGGAAAAAACAAAACUCCCAUGAGGACUGGGACAACAAACCCAAAACCAAGAAAGACAUUUCUAAGUCACAGAACAUCUGACCUAGACAGACCCGGCUAGCAUGCCGACUAACGAACCAAGUUACCCUAGGGAUAACAGCGCAAUCCCCUUCCAGAGCCCAUAUCGACAAGGGGGCUUACGACCUCGAUGUUGGAUCAGGACAUCCUAAUGGUGCAGCCGCUAUUAAGGGUUCGUUUGUUCAACGAUUAAAGUCCUACGUGA
rnacentral:rRNA from 1 species